AUUGAACGCUGGCGGCAGGCCUAACACAUGCAAGUCGAACGAGUGGCGGACGGGUGAGUAAUGUCUGGGAAACUGCCCGAUGGAGGGGGAUAACUACUGGAAACGGUAGCUAAUACCGCAUACCAUCGGAUGUGCCCAGAUGGGAUUAGCUAGUAGGUGGGGUAAAGGCUCACCUAGGCGACGAUCCCUAGCUGGUCUGAGAGGAUGACCGGCCACACUGGAACUGAGACAGGGCGCAGAUUCCUACGGUGGGCAGCAGUGGUGAAUAGUGCACAAGGGGCGUAAGACUGAGGCAGCCAUGCCGCGUGUGUGACGAAGGCCUUCGGGUUGGAAAGCACGUUCAGCGGGGAGGCGUUACCCGCAGAAGAAGCACCGGCUAACUCCGUGCCAGCCGCCGCGGUAAUAC
rnacentral:rRNA from 1 species